rnacentral:rRNA from 1 species
GACGAACGCUGGCGGCAUGCCUAACACAUGCAAGUCGAACGGAACUUGUUGAAUGAAGUUUUCGGAUGGAUUUUAGCAAGUUUAGUGGCGGACGGGUGAGUAACGCGUGAGCAACCUGCCUUUCAGAGGGGGACAACAGUUGGAAACGACUGCUAAUACCGCAUAACGUAUCGGAACCGCAUGGCUCUGAUACCAAAGAUUUAUCGCUGAAAGAUGGGCUCGCGUACGAUUAGAUAGUUGGUGAGGUAACGGCUCACCAAGUCGACGAUCGUUAGCCGGACUGAGAGGUUGAACGGCCACAUUGGGACUGAGACACGGCCCAGACUCCUACGGGAGGCAGCAGUGAGGAAUAUUGGGCAAUGGGCGCAAGCCUGACCCAGCAAUGCCGCGUGAAGGAAGACGGUUUCGGAUUGUAAACUUCUUUUAAGAGGGACGAAGAACGUGACGGUACCUGGAGAAAAAGCGACGGCUAACUACGUG